AAAAAAUUAGAGCUAUUAUGUACACGAAAUUGUGAGUGGAGGAGGGGGAAUCAAGCAGUCGAAAAUGGACCAUUCUGCAAGCGCAACAUGUGAUUUUCAUAUGAAAUUUAGUUGAUCAAUCCUUGUAGGCUUAGGCGCGAAACCGGUCACAAUCAUUGGCACCAUUCUUAGUGAAAAGGGAUAUAAGACCAUUCUUCAUUCUGGAUACUGAUUCUCUGAAUGUUACUGAGCUCUUCUCUGCAGUUGCACUAAGAUCCUGG
rnacentral:misc_RNA from 1 species